ACGGGUGAGUAACACGUGGGCAAUCUGCCCUUCACUCUGGGACAAGCCCUGGAAACGGGGUCUAAUACCGGAUGAUACUUCCACUCGCAUGGGUGGGGGUUGAAAGCUCCGGCGGUGAAGGAUGAGCCCGCGGCCUAUCAGCUUGUUGGUGAGGUAGAAGCUCACCAAGGCGACGACGGGUAGCCGGCCUGAGAGGGCGACCGGCCACACUGGGACUGAGACACGGCCCAGACUCCUACGGGAGGCAGCAGUGGGGAAUAUUGCACAAUGGGCGAAAGCCUGAUGCAGCGACGCCGCGUGAGGGAUGACGGCCUUCGGGUUGUAAACCUCUUUCAGCAGGGAAGAAGCGAAAGUGACGGUACCUGCAGAAGAAGCGCCGGCUAACUACGUGCCAGCAGCCGCGGUAAUACGUAGGGCGCAAGCGUUGUCCGGAAUUAUUGGGCGUAAAGAGCUCGUAGGCGGUCUGUCGCGUCGGAUGUGAAAGCCCGGGGCUUAACCCCGGGUCUGCAUUCGAUACGGGCAGACUAGAGUGUGGUAGGGGAGAUCGGAAUUCCUGGUGUAGCGGUGAAAUGCGCAGAUAUCAGGAGGAACACCGGUGGCGAAGGCGGAUCUCUGGGCCAUUACUGACGCUGAGGAGCGAAAGCGUGGGGAGCGAACAGGAUUAGAUACCCUGGUAGUCCACGCCGUAACGGUGGGAACUAGGUGUUGGCGACAUUCCACGUCGUCGGUGCCGCAGCUAACGCAUUAAGUUCCCCGCCUGGGGAGUACGGCCGCAAGGCUAAAACUCAAAGGAAUUGACGGG
rnacentral:rRNA from 1 species